rnacentral:rRNA from 1 species
CAGCCGCCACGGGAAUACGGAGGGUGCAAGCGUUAAUCGGAAUUACUGGGCGUAAAGCGCACGCAGGCGGUCUGACAAGUCAGAUGUGAAAUCCCCGGGCUUAACCUGGGAACUGCAUUUGAAACUGUCAGGCUGGAGUCUUGUAGAGGGGGGUGGAAUUCCAGGUGUAGCGGUGAAAUGCGUAGAGAUCUGGAGGAAUACCGGUGGCGAAGGCGGCCCCCUGGACAAAGACUGACGCUCAGGUGCGAAAGCGUGGGGAGCAAACAGGAUUAGAUACCCCAGUAGUUCCUGUCUCUUAUAU